CUCGUUAUCAAAAGGAAUAAUUAAAAAUCUCAUUUGUGUACUCAGUUCAUCUCUAAUCCUUUAUUUUCCUUCCCAGAUCUUUAUAAUUCUUACAUAUUCUUUGCAGGUCUCUUUGGAUGCUUCUAUUUAUUCCCAUAAAUCACUAAUAAUUUUGAUACUUGUCUGAAUCAUCUCAGGAGGCAUUGUUUUUAGAAGCAGAAGUGAAGAAAAAGACCAAAGUUAGGAAAAUUGAUAUGAAAUUGAUGCUGGCUAUAGCUUUAGUAAAGCAAAAGAAGACAUUAUUAAUUACAAAAGCAUGUAUGGAGAAAGGUUCAGCACAGUCAAGGAGGACUUCAAGGACCAAGAAGGAGAAAUGAAGACAGAUCUGACACAGGAUUUAAAGAAGGACCUUGUGCUUGACUGAGUCCUGAACUGAAUAAGAGAUUGGUUGUGUUGCAUUUAAAAAAAACAUGAAAUCAUUUCAUUGACUCCAUCCAUGGUAGUCACUAUCACAAAAGCACUGUAUCAAAGAAUGUAAAAGUUGAGGAUUGGAUUUACAAUACUACAUAAAAGAUUCCUCCCAAUAACAACAAAAUGAUCAUCAUGCCUUUCCUGGAAUAUCUCCAAAAUGGGAGACACAUAUAAGGAAAUUACUUUAACUCCAAUCUUCUCUCUGGCUAAUAUGAUACAUGGAAAUGGACAAUGACAUCACCAGAAACUUCAGUAGCCAUAUGGGUAAAACAGAAAGAGGCAGCUAAAUGGAUCAAUUUAUUUGGUGCUUCUUUGUUGUGCAUAACAUUGUUGCUGAUAGAGAUUUCCUUGCCUUUUCAGUGAAUGGUUUGUAUAAGGCACUUAUCAUCUUUCACAAUGUCAAAUCAAAAUUGGGAUAGAAUGGUCUCUAGUGGCUGGCAAAAGGCCAUUACAGAAGAGAGCCUCUAAUCUUAAGGCCAUUACAGAAGAGUCUCUAAUCUUAAGCCUAGAAUUGAGUAAAGUAUAAGAGAUAUUCCUGAAGUUGACAGGAGCAACCUUUAAUAGGGUAUGUCCACUUGUGCUAUCUAACUCUCCUAAUCUUGUGGAUUAAAAUAAUAAAUAUUUUAUAACUAAGAAAUAUCUCAUAGCUAUUACUGGUUUUUUUGUUUGUUUUUUUCUUUU